rnacentral:lncRNA from 1 species
CAGUCUCGGGGGGCACCCACGGGGGGCGGUGAAAACACUUACCAACAUCCUGGUCGAAGGGGUUGGUGGCAAAGAGAGGCAUGUCCGCUGCGUGCCGAGGUGUCCCCGGGGACUGCCCCUCGACCCCGCGGCACUCUAGGGGUGACGGAGAAAGGAGGCCCCUCAUAGGUUCUCGGCUUUUCCAUGUCCCCGGGCGUCUCGGGAGGACGAGGUCCUUCAGGCGCACCGAGGCCGACUAAGAGCCUCUAGAGUGAAUAAGAGACUGGGAGAGGGAGAGGGUUCAGUUUGGGUCCAGCCAAACCCUUAAUUUUUAACUCCUUGGGUUUAUUCGAUGGGUUGUUGUGAUGUUGCAAUCCCUCUAGAAAGUCAGGCAGUCCUUUGGGUUACCCGAGGAAAAUGUUGAGCGCGCUCGUCGAGGGUUCAUGGAAGUUGCUGGGAUUGGAGUCAUGUGAGCUGGUGGAGCUGGCCUGAAUCCCUUGGAGGGAGUGUCGAGGCGCACAGCCUCUCGAGAGGCUGAGCAUCAACAGGACUACUACAGUGACUGGGAUCACUACAGCUCGUUUUCAAUAUUUAACAAAGUUGCUCAGAGUCUGUCUGGCAAUGGAUGCUGGAAGUUGGCUGAGUCACUGGGGCUGUCUGCCGCACCAACUGCACAGAACAUGCUAUGUAUCGGCUUGGCUUCUCCCAGCAUACUGAAUGGACAUAAGUCAGAACGUUUCAAGAGACAAGAGAACGCCUCACAUUCCUUAAACUGUGGACCAGGAAGUGGGGAGAGGGUCACUUCAAUCAUACUCUAUUGCAGCCACAAUGACUUUCAACAAAUCGGCGUAGAGGGCAUGUUUAAAAGCUACCACAAUAUUGGACCCAAUGUUUAAGCAUUUUAUUUCAAAUCAUUUAUAUGCAUUGGCUCUUCAUAAUUAGUAGCUCCACGACAUUUAUUAAAUGGAAUAAAUGCAAUCUGCUAGG